rnacentral:rRNA from 1 species
ACUACAUGAAGCUGGAAUCGCUAGUAAUCGCGGAUCAGAAUGCCGCGGUGAAUACGUUCCCGGGUCUUGUACACACCGCCCGUCACACCAUGGGAGUCGGAAAUGCCCGAAGUCUGUGACCCAACCGAAAGGAGGGAGCAGCCGAAGGCAGGUCGGAUGACUGGGGUGAAGUCGUAACAAGGUAUC